UCUGGCUGGUCGAAGAUACCAGGCCGCUGCGACUGUUUAUUAAAAACACAGCACUCUGCAAACACGAAAGUGGACGUAUAGGGUGUGACGCCUGCCCGGUGCCGGAAGGUUAAUUGAUGGGGUUAGCGCAAGCGAAGCUCUUGAUCGAAGCCCCGGUAAACGGCGGCCGUAACUAUAACGGUCCUAAGGUAGCGAAAUUCCUUGUCGGGUAAGUUCCGACCUGCACGAAUGGCGUAACGAUGGCGGCGCUGUCUCCACCCGAGACUCAGUGAAAUUGAAAUCGCUGUGAAGAUGCAGUGUAUCCGCGGCUAGACGGAAAGACCCCGUGAACCUUUACUGUAGCUUUGCACUGGACUUUGAGCCUGCUUGUGUAGGAUAGGUGGGAGGCUUUGAAGCGUGGACGCCAGUUCGCGUGGAGCCAUCCUUGAAAUACCACCCUGGCAUGCUUGAGGUUCUAACUCUGGUCCGUGAUCCGGAUCGAGGACAGUGUAUGGUGGGCAGUUUGACUGGGGCGGUCUCCUCCUAAAGAGUAACGGAGGAGUACGAAGGUGCGCUCAGACCGGUCGGAAAUCGGUCGUAGAGUAUAAAGGCAAAAGCGCGCUUGACUGCGAGACAGACACGUCGAGCAGGUACGAAAGUAGGUCUUAGUGAUCCGGUGGUUCUGUAUGGAAGGGCCAUCGCUCAACGGAUAAAAGGUACUCCGGGGAUAACAGGCUGAUACCGCCCAAGAGUUCAUAUCGACGGCGGUGUUUGGCACCUCGAUGUCGGCUCAUCACAUCCUGGGGCUGAAGCCGGUCCCAAGGGUAUGGCUGUUCGCCAUUUAAAGUGGUACGCGAGCUGGGUUUAGAACGUCGUGAGACAGUUCGGUCCCUAUCUGCCGUGGACGUUUGAGAUUUGAGAGGGGCUGCUCCUAGUACGAGAGGACCGGAGUGGACGAACCUCUGGUGUUCCGGUUGUCACGCCAGUGGCAUUGCCGGGUAGCUAUGUUCGGAAAAGAUAACCGCUGAAAGCAUCUAAGCGGGAAACUUGCCUCAAGAUGAGAUCUCACUGGGAACUUGAUUCCCCUGAAGGGCCGUCGAAGACUACGACGUUGAUAGGCUGGGUGUGUAAGCGUUGUGAGGCGUUGAGCUAACCAGUACUAAUUGCCCGUGAGGCUUGACCAU
rnacentral:rRNA from 1 species